GUAAGCUAAGGCCAACCUACACUUCUGUAUCAGAUUGCCUUCUUUCCUUGUGCUAGCAAGGAUAUCACUUUCCCCUUUCUAAAGAAAUAUCCCCAGCAGGAGGUUAGCAUGCUUUCAUUUUCCCAUCUUUCAAGAUCUCUCUUUGGGUUCCACUUUUUAUAUUGAUAUUGCCCAAUUUGUGCCAUUUUUCCAGAAAAAAAAGGCUGAUUUAUAAUUCUUGUUUUCAGUCUCUCUCCUUGCAUUCUCUCUUGAGCACACACCUAUCAGGAUUUUGCCCCCAAUUUCCUAAUAGUAUUACUCCUCCUAAGUCAUAAAUUACCUGAAUGUGACACGUAAUGAUCCUCAUCUGACUUGAACUAUUCACAGCAUUUUUCAGAGCUGAGGAUUCCCUCCGCUGGCAAUACUUUCCAGGACACUAUUCUUUGUGGUUUGUCUUGUAACUUUCACUGACCUCUCCAUUUACAUGUCAUUUACUAAUUUUUUUUUUUUUUUUACAUUUCUUAGGCUUCUUAAUUGAAGCAUUUCAGUAUUCAACUUUUACGUGUAUGUGUAUGGACCUCGUCUAGUCUCAUGUCUUAAAAUACGAUCUCUAUAUUGAUAAUUUCAAAAUUUGUAUCUGUGGCCAAAGCCUUACUCCUGAACUUUAGAUUUAUCUCGUCACCUCACCAGUUCCCUGUAUAUCUGUAAUAGGUAUCUCAUACUUAACAUUUUCUGAACAGAUAUCCUCAUCUUCCUUUCUCAGACCUCUCCUGGAGUAUCCCUACUUUAGGAAAGGCAAUUCUAUCCUUCCAGUUGUACAUACACAUGCAAAAUAUUGAAAUAAUUCCUAUUCCUCUGUUGGUCAUGCUCAUAUCAGGCUCGAAUUUCAAAUCAUACCCAGAAUCUGACUACUUUUCAACACCUCCACAAGUUUUACCCUGGUCUGAAUUAUUGCAAUACGCUCAAACUUGUACCUCAGCUUGUCUCCUGACCACUCACAGCCCCGCUUCCCCAACCUCAUUCCCCUGUGUAAAUCUGAAAACAGCAGUCAGGGUCAUCCUGUGAAAACAAGUCAUAUGAUGUCACUGCUUUGCUCAGAUGCCCACCCCCUCCCCACCAGUGGCUACCCACAUCGCCCAGCAUAAAAUCUAAAGAACAACCUGAAGGCCCUAUAAAGUAUACCUCCAAUACUAAGCAUCUUUGAUCCUGUUGUUCUUUCUGUCUGAAAUGUACUUUCCCAACAACUGCAUACUCCCUCACCAUGUUCUAGUACCCACAAAAAAUGACACUUUCUCAGUGAGGACUUCUGUGACCAUUUUUUUUUAUUACUCCCUCUGACACUCAAUAUACCUUUUUUGCUACUUAAAUUUUCUCAUUAUUCAUCAGUCUAUGAUUUUCGCUCACAUAUUUUGUUUGUUACCCUUCAUUUGCCUCAGCAGCUAUAAAUUUAAACUACUGAGUAAGCUCUAGAAGUGCAAGGAUGCGUUUUUCUCUUUUUUGUUCAUUGCUGUAUCCUCUGUGUCUAGAAUAAUAUCUAUUCCCUAGCAGAUACACAAUAAAUAUUUUAAAAGGAAUGUAUAAAUGAAAUUUCCAUUUUAAACAACGUAUAGCAACUAAGUGAUGUUGAAACCAAGAUUUUAUCUGGAAUAGUAUUUAAAAUGGUAAGGAAGUUGGCUGUAAUUGUAUAAUGACACAGUUACCCAGUCAUCAAUGGUCAUGAUAUUAAAAAGUUGAAAACAGUCAAUUCAUUUUGCUUAGAGAGUCGGACAUAACACUGAUGCAUACCACGUUAAGAAAUUCUCCAAGAAAAUCCUAUUCAAAAUCUUCCAAUGGCUUCCUAGCUCACUUAAAAUAAAUACCCUAGUCCUUUCUACAUCCCACAAGAAUCUACAGAAUCUUUUCCCUGGUUAUCCCUCUGAUAAUAUUUUCUACAAAUAUUUCCUACUCAGCCAUUACUAUACAGCAACAGGCUUCCUUGAUAUUCCAUAAACAUUUCAUUUAUAUACCUGCCUCAAGUCCUUGUCACUUCUUUUUCCUUCUAGAAGGACGAUUUUGCCUCCAGAUGUCCAUUUUUCAUUUCAAUUAUUUUUCUGCUUAACCAUUGCUGCCUUGCAGAUGCUUUCCCUGACCUAUAUAAAAAUGUAACACUUGUAAUUCUUUAAUGUCUCGCCCUAUUGCCUACUCCAUAUCUCUUAAAAUUACAUGAUUUUAUAAAAUAUGUUUGUAUAUUGUCUUUUCCCCAGUAAAUAUAAGCCACAAAAUGGCAGGAACUUCAUCUUUUUUGUUCCAUCAUUUUCUGGUAUAGUGCUUGUUAUAUUAUUGAAACAAUAGACAUUUUGAAUCAAUGAGUCAAUUAUGCCAGCUGUAUGGAUCCUGAACAUGUCUGACACACGGAAAGAUUAGCAUCUCUCCUUGCUUCUUAUACUUUAAUACUUUAGCCAUGUGGUCUUCAAUGUGAGACAUGCAUUCUCUCACAGAAAUGAGAAGGCUUUCCAAAGGAUAUGCAAGUACAGAUAAAGUUUUAGAAAAAAAUUAACAAUUUCAUGGAAGAACAAUUUAUAUGCAGUAAAAUGCACAUACAUAAUGUAUAUCAUUAAAUGAAUUUUGACAUAUGCAUUCAGCCAUGAAACAAAGAUACUGAAGAUAAUGGUCAUCCCAGAAGUUUUCUUCUGUCCCUUCCUACCACUGCCCACCUCAGACCCUAUCACUGAACUGCUUUUGUCGCUAUAGAUUAAUUUACAUUUUAAAGAAUUUUAUAUUAAGAUACGUCAAACAAUAGGUACUCCUUUCUACUUGACUCAACUUAAUUACUUUCAGGUUCAACCAUAUUGUCGUAGAUAUGAUACUUAUUCCCUUCAAUGCCGAUUAGUAUUUUUUUUUUUAGUUUGUUUUUGAGAUGGAGUCUCGCUCUCACCCAGGCUGGAGUGAAGUGGCAUGAUCUCCGCUCACUGCAAGCUCCACCUCCCGGGUUCACACCAUUUUCCUACCUCAGCCUCCCGAGUAGCUGAGACUACAGGUGCCCACUACCACACCCGGCUAAUUUUUUGUAUUUUUAGUAGAGACAGGGUUUCACUGUGUUAGCCAGGAUGGACUUGACCUCCAGACCUCGUGAUCUGCCCGCCUUGGCCUCCCAAAGUGCUGGGAUUACCGGCGAGAGCCACCGCACCUGGCCAGUUUUGCCCAGUUUUAAUCGGUUAUAGCUCCAAUCUGUGCAAUGCACUUUGAAAAUGGAGAAAGGGAACACGUCAAGGAAUACAGGAAGCCACUAGAAGCUGGAAAAAAACCAGGAGACAGAUUCUCCUCCCAGAUCAUCCAGAAGGAACCAACCCUGCUAAAACCUUGACUUUAGCUCAGUACAAAGGAUUUCAGACUUACAGCCUCCAUAAGGAUCGAUCAGUUACUUGUUAAGGCCCUAAGGAAAUGAACAAAAGAGGGGUGCAUUUUGAUGACUGACUACAUAGGAUGCUGGUUGAGAGAAACAGGCCCUAGAUGUACCGUAAACCACCAAGAAAAACAAAGAGAGAUUUUUCUUCAACUACUGACCCAGACCAAAGAAUUUGCCUGUUGAAAGUUCAAUAGAGGAAAAGGAAAUUAGAGAAAGAAGACAAGAUCACAACUGAGACAAGAGGAAAAGGAGAGUGCUCCUCCUCUAAGCAGAAUUGUGUAUGCUCUCUGCAUAUUCUCUAAGUUUUAAGGACAACCUACAGCGGGCAGCUGAUGAGUCUGGAUCCCAUAAGCUGGGAAGGGAGAACACUUACCUGUAUGGCAAGAAGCCCUGGCCUGUGAAAGUCAAGAGGGACCUGUGGCACCAAGGACUCCGAAACAGAAACAUGGCAACUUCAAGGAAGGCAUUAAACUUGGGAUUGGUCUAGGAUGCUGCCAUUUCAACAUAUCAAUCUCAAGAUCAACAUAGCAAAAUAUUACUUAUCAUUCAUUAGAAUUUUCACUAUCUUUAGCCUAAUGCCACCCACCCCACCGCCCAGGUAUACCCCAGGACUUGGUAUUUAGACCUCCUCCAUGUGCAUUCAUUCCCUUGGUGAUCUCAGGCUAACUAGUUUUUUAAAAUACCAUUUAUAUGACCAUGACUCCCCAGUUAAUAUUCCCAGUGCCAACCUUCCCCAUGAAUGGCAUACUCACAAAUAUAGCUUCACACAUGGCUAAUGAGCUUUUGAAACAACUUUUCUAAAAUAAAAUGUGUUAUUCUUCCCCCAAAGUCUGCUUUUCCCUGCCCCACCCCAUUUCAUUUUUUCCCAUCUUACUAUGAGGUAACAUCAGAGAUCAGUAGGUACCAUCAACAACCUUAGGAUCAUUCUGCCCUCUCACAUCACAUUUCCAAUUUAUUCAACAGCAAAUUCUGGAGGUUCAGCCCUUCUAAAGACAUCACAAUUCCAACCGUGCCUCAACUCACUAAAAUCUCUAACCGAGAUAACCACAAAGCUUUCCUCCCAGAUAUUCUCACAUCAGUCAAGUGCUCAAAGACAAAGACAACACCCCAAAAGCUACACACUUUUACACUGUCCAUCUUCUUUCCCUGUUUUAUUUUCUUUGUAAAACUCAGCCUUUUCUGGCAUACUUAAUAAUCAUCAGUUAAUUAUCUGUCUUUUGCAGUAGUUCUCAAACUUUCACAAUCACCUGUUAAAAGACAAAUUGCUGAACCCCACUCUCAGAGUUUCAGAUUCAAUAGGUCUAGGCCGGGGACUUGAGAAUUUGCAUUUCUAGCAAUUCCCAGCACACUGAUACUAAUGAUCUGGGAACCACACUUUGAAAAACACUGCUCUACAGAGUGUAAGUUCCUGGAGACCAGGGCCCUUGUGUUGAUGGUCACUGUAUCGCAAGCACAUGAGAGAGCAGACGUGAAUGAUGCUGUAGGGUAAACUUAAGCAAACCCUUAGAAUGACCCUGUACAGUAGACACACCUGAAAGUGUGUCCCAAGCUAGGGAAUCUAGUGGACAGCCCGAAGAUUUGUUCUUUGUCUGUGAGGAACAUCUGAAACCCCAUCCCAUCCCAUGGAACAUGGGCCAUACAGAGGAAUGAGGCCCUGAGUUUGGGGUUAAUGAGGGUUGCCAGGUGGAGGUCAUAAAGGAGAGAGUGUUAAGUGAAAAUGCUACAUAAACUGCAUGCUGUUUGCAAGUGGUUGCGGUUUUCCUGCCCAGCCUGCCACCACUGGAUCAUUUCUGUAGGUAAGUUGGUUCUCCUGUCCAGCCCACUGCCACUGACUCUCUCCACUGUAUGUAAGCUCCUAAUGAAACUCCAUGUCUCCUUUGUUGGCUCGGGGUCUCUUCUUCAGCCUCUUGAACCUAGUACCUUCCCUAUUGAGGUUAAUGAGGGUUCGGCACAACAGACGCUCAAUAACACUCGUUGAACAAAUGAAUUAAUAAUCUUGAAAUAAACCUAUUUUAAUAUUACAGACAUUUCCAUGAGCAUUUGAUUCUAAAUAAUUUAUCUCAAAACUUCAAAACUACAAAGCAU
rnacentral:lncRNA from 10 species